AUUUUUUCUGUGUUGGUGUAAUGUACUCAGGUGAAUAUCAUUUAGAGUAACAUUACAAGCAUCAUAUUCACCUGAGUUCAUCACACCAACACAGAAAAAUCAUGAUUACUAG
rnacentral:miRNA from 1 species